rnacentral:rRNA from 1 species
UACGUAGGGGGCAAGCGUUGUCCGGAUUUACUGGGCGUAAAGAGCGCGCAGGCGGUCGUACAAGUCGUGUGUGAAAGCCCCUGGCUCAACUGGGGAGGGUCACGCGAUACUGUUCGACUUGAAGGCAGGAGAGGGAAGUGGAAUUCCCGGUGUAGUGGUGAAAUGCGUAGAUAUCGGGAGGAACACCAGUGGCGAAGGCGACUUCCUGGCCUGUUCUUGACGCUGAGGCGCGAAAGCUAGGGUAGCAAACGGG